UAAUACGGGGGGGGCAAGCGUUGUUCGGAAUUACUGGGCGUAAAGGGCUCGUAGGUGGCCAACUAAGUCAGACGUGAAAUCCCUCGGCUUAACCGGGGAACUGCGUCUGAUACUGGAUGGCUUGAGAUUGGGAGAGGGACGCGGAAUUCCAGGUGUAGCGGUGAAAUGCGUAGAUAUCUGGAGGAACACCGGUGGCGAAGGCGGCGUCCUGGACCAACACUGACACUGAGGAGCGAAAGCCAGGGGAGCAAACGGGA
rnacentral:rRNA from 1 species